AAACGCUAAAGCGGCUUGUUAGGAC
rnacentral:piRNA from 1 species